AAGGAUUUAAGUUAUACUCAUAAACUAGAAACCUUCAAAGUUUCAAAAAAAGAUAGGGUCUUUAAGCCUUA
rnacentral:tRNA from 1 species